ACGCUGGCGGCGUGCUUAACACAUGCAAGUCGAACGGAAAGGCCCUGCUUUUGUGGGGUGCUCGAGUGGCGAACGGGUGAGUAACACGUGAGUAACCUGCCCUUGACUUUGGGAUAACUUCAGGAAACUGGGGCUAAUACCGGAUAGGAGCUCCUGCUGCAUGGUGGGGGUUGGAAAGUUUCGGCGGUUGGGGAUGGACUCGCGGCUUAUCAGCUUGUUGGUGGGGUAGUGGCUUACCAAGGCUUUGACGGGUAGCCGGCCUGAGAGGGUGACCGGCCACAUUGGGACUGAGAUACGGCCCAGACUCCUACGGGAGGCAGCAGUGGGGAAUAUUGCACAAUGGGCGGAAGCCUGAUGCAGCAACGCCGCGUGCGGGAUGACGGCCUUCGGGUUGUAAGCCGCUUUCGCCUGUGACGAAGCGUGAGUGACGGUAAUGGGUAAAGAAGCACCGGCUAACUACGUGCCAGCAGCCGCGGUGAUACGUAGGGUGCGAGCGUUGUCCGGAUUUAUUGGGCGUAAAGGGCUCGUAGGUGGUUGAUCGCGUCGGAAGUGUAAUCUUGGGGCUUAACCCUGAGCGUGCUUUCGAUACGGGUUGACUUGAGGAAGGUAGGGGAGAAUGGAAUUCCUGGUGGAGCGGUGGAAUGCGCAGAUAUCAGGAGGAACACCAGUGGCGAAGGCGGUUCUCUGGGCCUUUCCUGACGCUGAGGAGCGAAAGCGUGGGGAGCGAACAGGCUUAGAUACCCUGGUAGUCCACGCUGUAAACGGUGGGUACUAGGUGUGGGGUCCAUUCCACGGGUUCCGUGCCGUAGCUAACGCUUUAAGUACCCCGCCUGGGGAGUACGGCCGCAAGGCUAAAACUCAAAGGAAUUGACGGGGCCCCGCACAAGCGGCGGAGCAUGCGGAUUAAUUCGAUGCAACGCGUAGAACCUUACCUGGGUUUGACAUGGAUCGGGAGUGCUCAGAGAUGGGUGUGCCUCUUUUGGGGUCGGUUCACAGGUGGUGCAUGGCUGUCGUCAGCUCGUGUCGUGAGAUGUUGGGUUAAGUCCCGCAACGAGCGCAACCCUUGUUCACUGUUGCCAGCACGUUAUGGUGGGGACUCAGUGGAGACCGCCGGGGUCAACUCGGAGGAAGGUGGGGAUGACGUCAAGUCAUCAUGCCCCUUAUGUCCAGGGCUUCACGCAUGCUACAAUGGCUGGUACAGAGAGUGGCGAGCCUGUGAGGGUGAGCGAAUCUCGGAAAGCCGGUCUCAGUUCGGAUUGGGGUCUGCAACUCGACCUCAUGAAGUCGGAGUCGCUAGUAAUCGCAGAUCAGCAACGCUGCGGUGAAUACGUUCCCGGGGCUUGUACACACCGCCCGUCAAGUCAUGAAAGUUGGUAACACCCGAAGCCGGUGGCCUAACCGUUGUGGGGGAGCCGUCGAAGGUGGGACUGGUGAUU
rnacentral:rRNA from 1 species